AGAGUUUGAUCCUGGCUCAGGAUGAACGCUGGCGGCGUGCUUAACACAUGCAAGUCGAACGAACCUUCGGGUUAGUGGCGGACGGGUGAGUAACGCGUGGGAAUCUGCCCUCAGGAGGGGGAUAACGGCUGGAAACGGCCGCUAAUACCCCAUAUGCCGAGAGGUGAAAAGAAAUUCGCCUGAGGAUGAGCCCGCGUCUGAUUAGCUAGUUGGUGGGGUAAGAGCUCACCAAGGCGACGAUCAGUAGCUGGUCUGAGAGGAUGAUCAGCCACACUGGGACUGAGACACGGCCCAGACUCCUACGGGAGGCAGCAGUGGGGAAUUUUCCGCAAUGGGCGAAAGCCUGACGGAGCAACGCCGCGUGAGGGAUGAAGGCCUCUGGGCUGUAAACCUCUUUUCUCAAGGAAGAAGACAUGACGGUACUUGAGGAAUAAGCCACGGCUAAUUCCGUGCCAGCAGCCGCGGUAAUACGGGAGUGGCAAGCGUUAUCCGGAAUUAUUGGGCGUAAAGCGUCCGCAGGCGGCCCUGUAAGUCUGUCGUUAAAGCGUGGAGCUUAACUCCAUUUAAGCGAUGGAAACUACAGGGCUUGAGUGUGGUAGGGGCAGAGGGAAUUCCCGGUGUAGCGGUGAAAUGCGUAGAUAUCGGGAAGAACGCCAGUGGCGAAGGCGCUCUGCUGGGCCAUAACUGACGCUCAUGGACGAAAGCCAGGGGAGCGAAAGGGAUUAGAUACCCCUGUAGUCCUGGCCGUAAACGAUGAACACUAGGUGUCGGGGGAAUCGACCCCCUCGGUGUCGUAGCCAACGCGUUAAGUGUUCCGCCUGGGGAGUACGCACGCAAGUGUGAAACUCAAAGGAAUUGACGGGGGCCCGCACAAGCGGUGGAGUAUGUGGUUUAAUUCGAUGCAACGCGAAGAACCUUACCAGGGUUUGACAUCCUGCGAAUCCCUUGGAAACGAGGGAGUGCCUUCGGGAGCGCAGAGACAGGUGGUGCAUGGCUGUCGUCAGCUCGUGUCGUGAGAUGUUGGGUUAAGUCCCGCAACGAGCGCAACCCACGUCUUUAGUUGCCAGCAUUCAGUUGGGCACUCUAGAGAGACCGCCGGUGAUAAACCGGAGGAAGGUGUGGAUGACGUCAAGUCAUCAUGCCCCUUACAUCCUGGGCUACACACGUACUACAAUGCUACGGACAAUGGGCAGCAAGCUCGCGAGAGUUAGCAAAUCCCAUAAACCGUGGCUCAGUUCAGAUCGUAGGCUGCAACUCGCCUACGUGAAGGAGGAAUCGCUAGUAAUCGCAGGUCAGCAUACUGCGGUGAAUACGUUCCCGGGCCUUGUACACACCGCCCGUCACACCAUGGAAGUUGGCCAUGCCCGAAGUCGUUACUCCAACCC
rnacentral:rRNA from 1 species